GGCCCGGUGGUCAGUGCCUUAGCUCUGACUUCUAAGCUGAUGGUCGCUGGUUCGAAUCCAGCCGGGGUCGCCA
rnacentral:tRNA from 1 species